AUGAGGGGCAAGUGUUUCCGUUGCUUGGAGAAGGGACACUUCCGGGUCGACUGCAUCAACGAGAUCGUCUGCUUCCGCUGCGGGCUGCCCGGGCAUGGCUCCAGGGAUUGCAAGAGGCCCCGUAGCCCGUCUUCGGUGGAUGAGCUGAGGCGUGACACGGUGGCCAAGGUGGCUCGCCGUGCCAGCCCUGUGCCCCCUGCAGCGGCACGCGGCACGCCGCCGGUUGCACCACCGCCCCCUCCCCCCCAGCAGCGCACGAGCCAGGAUGCGCACCUGGUUUGGCUACCGUUGGCGCCGCUGCGGUUGCAGACUGUCAUCGAUGCAGAGGAAGACCCCACAGAGAUCUGCAUCGUGCGUCGUUCACAAACGGUGGAAGAUCUUGAGCGCCGCCUCCAGUUCUCCAUGGUGGCGUACGUCGGUGGGGCGAGGCCUGUGAUCCCUGCGGCGCAAGUUCAUGAAGUGCUAGCCGGAAAGCUGGACAUCCCGCCCGACCUGGUGUCCGUCCAUCGCCAUCGACCAAAAGAUUUCUUGGUAGUUUUCGCUUCUGCGGAGUUGAGGAACAGAGUUUCUGCAUGUCCGAUAGUGGCGUUUGAAGGAGACAGGCUGUUUUUUCGGCCGUGGAACCGCCAGUCACAAGCGGUGCACGCCAUGUUCGGGUUCAAGGUCUGGCUCGAGAUCGAGGGCAUUCCUCCCCACGCCUGGGACAGAUCGGUGGUGGAAGAGUUGUUGGGUUCGUCUUGCAAAGUGGAUUCGGUCGCGCCGGAAACCUGCUCUCGUGCGGACUUGUCCUCGUUCAAGCUGUCAGCAUGGACUGCUCACCCUCAGGGAAUCCCCACGCUGCGGUGGCUCGUCGUGCCGGAGCCUGGAGAGGAGGCGCCUCCUGCGCUGCUGUAG
rnacentral:rRNA from 1 species